UCAUUAAAAUGUUGUGAAGGACCAAAAUUGUCUCAGCAAGUGUUUCCCAAGAGGCUCUCGUCCAACAAUACAGAAACUGGUCAGAGCAAAAUUUGUUCCUCUAACCCUCACAAGAGUUCACCCUGGCAAAAUUUUGAGUCUGAGAGUAGAGGAAUUUCAUUUGCUAACAAACACAAAGACUCUUUUAUGAAUCUAUCAGUAUCAAAAGACGCUAUGUUUAGCAAAAAAGGAGAUGAAAUGCUAAAGCCUGAAUUUCAAGCUAUUCAGAUGAAAAAUCAAAGCUCACCUGACAGUAAAUUUCAUGAUCUAACUGUAGGUGGUCAUGCACAAUGUAAGAACGAAAGAAGCCGAAAAAAUAAACAUAAGCCGUUGAAGAACGAGUUGGGAUUAAAAAACGCCAAGAAGGACGGUCUCUAUUCUGGCUGUGAUUUCGAUGAUAUAUUUUUUGAGCUGCAACCGUCAGAUAAACCAAAAAAUCAUGAUGAACCACCGAAAGUAUCAAAUAAUAUACAAUCAUUCGCAUCACUGAAGAAAGCGAAAAAGAAAAAAAAAACUGUUUUAUCGAGUGGGAGGCAGAAGUUAGCGGCAGUGAUGUCUCAGAGGAUGAAAAUGAAGAUGAAGACAAGGAUCAGGGUAAGCCUGACUCAUUUAUCCACGAUGAUCAUGCUUCUGUUUCAAACCACGAACACACAAUCACUGCCCAAUAUUUAGAAUCAAUCAAGAGUCUACCAACUGGUCCUGGGAAAUUCAAAAUACCUGUCUUGUCUCAUAAAAUAGAUAAGAGUGUGUACUCUCAAGCCUUCAAUAAUGAUACUGACUAUCAGAAUGUAAGUUAUAGUUUAUAUUCAUAUUUUAAUACAAAUACACAGUAUUGCAAAAAUACUUUGACGUCAGCUUCCAUUGAUAAAAAGUGUACCUGUAGACAUUUAAUCUACAGUAUUCAAGAUAAUUAUCAUAAUGUUUUCAAUUUGGACCUAUUUCAUUAAGUUUCAUCACAAUCGGAAGCAAAUGAUUUGUGUUUUCAUCGUCAUCCUAGCCAUUUAGGGUACAGGGUCAUAUUUUGCGAUUUUUGGCUAUCAAUGUUUUGCCUGCAAAUGAACUAUUCUUUUACAGAUUUCAGUCCAAAAAGAAUCUUCAGUUCGAUUCGGAAAAUUCUUUACACAAUUUGAAGAACAUUAUGUUUAAGUUGUAAAUGUACAGGGUGUCCAGACGACCCACACUAAAGAGGGUUAUUCAAAAUCGGCGAUUUUACCCAACGCUUGGAUUUUGCCUGGAGUUGGAUAUGUUGUUCCUUAUCACAAGACACGCCUUUUUCCGGCAUUGGCAAGUUCACCCGAAAUUUUUCCCGCGCGCUACAGCGUUGCCAAGUUGAAAACAGGCAAAUUCCGUAAGUGGCAUUAAAAUUGAGCUAUGAAGUUGCGGUUUUAACGAAAAUUCUCUAAAAAUUACGCACUUUUAGGAAAUGACCAUGUUUUUAAUGUCGCAUUAAUUUUAACAUGCAUUAUUGCCAAAUUUCCGAUUUUUAAAUUCGACAAAUGUUACAUAUCCGCAAAUACCCAAAAAAGCUAUCUUCAAAUUUGAAUAAAAAGUUGUCUAAUCGAUAGUUCGUUUCAUUCCGCAUCCAUCGAUAUAUUAUAGCUCGCUGGGAAACUUUUGGUUCGCGAGAAAUCGUCAUUUUUGUGAACAGCUUUAUGGAGCGACGACGCUUUUUGAGUCCGGGCGGAUAGAAAUUUUAGCCUCCAAAAACACCGGAUAGCAUUAAUUCCAUGGUUUCCUACGUAAUUUUUAGCGCUGAAUCCGAAUUUGACCAUUUCAUAAAAAAAUUGUCUCCAA
rnacentral:lncRNA from 1 species